rnacentral:lncRNA from 1 species
UCGCCAUUUUUAAAAUUUGCAAUUUUAUUUGCUUUUCGAUUGAUGUUAAUUAAGAAUGAAAGAGUGUUCAUUUUGAUGCAACUGAAAAAGCAAGUUGUCUGCCGUGGAGGAUCUUCUAAUUAAUUGCGGAACAUAAGGAAAAACCCUGGAUGGCUUUAAUUUACAGUGCCUUGGUUGUGUCAGUGUUCAUUCGAUCCAGAAAGCACAAAAGUGCCUUUUUUUCCAUUGGGAACGGAUACAGGGUGGCAUUGCUGAAGGAAGGAUUUAUGACGAAUGAACUGGUAACUUGUAACUUUCUUUAUUUAAUCAGACAACUUUUAAACAUUUUAGAAGUGGCAGAAGCAAAAUGUGGAACUGGCGUUUCCAUCAGUGCAAAAGUUAGCUUUUAACUUUAACACCACAUCGCCUCAUUAAAAUAUUACAGAUUUAUUCGCUUUAAAAGUUGUAAUUAACCACGUUUUCUUGUCCGUUUCUAUAGAUUGUCUAAGUGAGAAGGAAUUACAGCUAGUUUCGAUGGUACUGAAAGAGCUAAAGCUUAUGAUGUCAUACUCUUUCAACAUAAUUUUGAACCUUUGAGGGGGAGGCAUCCGGAAAUUAAUUUGGAAACGACUGAAACAACAAGUUGUCUGGAGUGGUAUUCCUCCUGGAUUUUGCUUGUUCAUUCGACCUUAAAAAGCUACUUUCUGCAGUUAAUUAAGAUUGUCCAACAAAUGAGUUCAGUUUGGCGCUACUCGAACAACCGUCUACAUGGGUGUGGUCUUUUCUGUACUUUGUUCCUGAUUUGAUAUUUUCAUCUUCACUUCGCAACACUAUGCAGUUCAUUUUCGACCGAUUAGUGGGAGCAACUAAGGAUUUAUUUGAUUUCAAAUGGACCAACAAAAUUUCUGCUAUGGUGUUCCUCCUGGGUUUGGUUUGCUCUUCACACCUGCAAACAGUUUCAGUCUGCAGUUAAUUAAGAUCGACGUUGGAGAAGAAAAAGAUGAAAUUAUUUUUUUUU